GAUAAACGCUAGCGGCAGGCUUAACACAUGCAAGUCGAGGGGCAGCAUAGAUUGUAGCAAUACAAUUGGUGGCGACCGGCGCACGGGUGCGUAACGCGUAUGCUACCUACCCGUCACAGGGGGAUAAUCCGGAGAAAUCUGGUCUAAUACCCCAUAACAUAUGGAUCGGCAUCGGUUCAUGUUGAAAUUUUCGGAGGUGACGGAUGGGCAUGCGUAGCAUUAGCUUGUUGGUGAGGUAACGGCUCACCAAGGCGACGAUGCUUAGGGGGACUGAGAGGUUUUCCCCCCACACUGGUACUGAGACACGGACCAGACUCCAACGGGAGGCAGCAGUGAGGAAUAUUGGUCAAUGGGCGCAAGCCUGAACCAGCCAUGCCGCGUGCAGGAUGACGGCUCUAUGAGUUGUAAACUGCCUUUGUACGAGGGUAAAGUGGGUUACGUGUAACCUUUUGAAAGUAUCGUACGAAUAAGGAUCGGCUAACUCCGUGCCAGCAGCCGCCGUAA
rnacentral:rRNA from 1 species